UUUAUACCAAAGAGAUUUUCACUUGAAAACCAGGGAAGCUUUUCAGCAAAGAAGCAGACGUGGAGGAGCAGUGGGAUCUCAAAAUGAAGCUGAAGAAAAGCAGGACAGUGAAAACCACUUUUAGAGCUAUGAGUAAGACUUUUGUUAAAUGUGAAAAACCUUCAUUGAAAGUCACCAGAAAGAAAAAGGAACUGGAGAUGGGGGUCUCCCUAUUGAAGGUUGAAAUGGUGACAUCCACUGCUGACAUUAUUGAAUGGCUAAUAAAGAAUUUAUUUAUUGUAAUACCUCACAGACAUGGUACCAUACCCACAUCCAUUUAUGUCACCUGCCUGUGGCUGGUAAGAUAAUGUCGUGGUCCACCCUGUGUUCAGUGAGACUGGAUCUGAUCUGUCAGUGAAUAGUUGCAGACAGUCUUGUGCUGUGUUCCUGAUCAAAAAGGCUUCUUAAUAUAUUGGAAUAACACUUUUUUAGUAUGCAAAAUACUUUAUUUUGAUUUGCAGAAUGGAAUUUUUUUGUCUCAUGUUUCGAAUUUCUUUUGUAUUUCUUUU